UGCGUAGGUGGUGGGGUAAGUCGGAUGUGAAAGCUCGGAGCUCAACUCCGAAAUGGCAUUGGAAACUACCCUGCUAGAGGAUUGGAGGGGGGACUGGAAUACUUGGUGUAGCAGUGAAAUGCGUAGAUAUCAAGUGGAACACCAGUGGCGAAGGCGAGUCCCUGGACAAUACCUGACACUGAGGCACGAAAGCUAGGGGAGCAAACA
rnacentral:rRNA from 1 species